rnacentral:rRNA from 1 species
AUGACACAAUUCCUAGGGAUGGUCAUGUCGCCCAUGGAUAGAAUGGUUUGGAAGGUUUGGGCACCUCCAAAAGUUAAAUUCUUUACUUGGCUAGCUCUUCAAGAUGGAAUCUGGACGGCGGAUAGAUUGGCAAAGUGAGGAUGGCCAAAUUGUGAUGUUUGCCCCCUCUACAAGAGGGUGCAAGAGUGCGUACCCCAUCUCUUCUACAAGUGCAGCUACACUCGGCGCCUUUGGUCUUUGGUCAUUGAAAAAUUCCCCAUGCUCGGGCUCGACACUUUCGUUUGACCCUUGUUUGACACGGUUAAAGAUUGGUAGGCAUGCACUUGCGUUGAUGGAACACCAAAUCAUCAAGCCAAAGACUCCAUCACCAUGCUCGUAUCUUGGACAGACUGGAAUGAGCGGAACGCAAGGGUUUUUAAGCAUAAGAGUGCCCCAACGCCAAUCUUGCUUUCGUCCAUCUCCACCGAGGCAAACCUUUGA